rnacentral:lncRNA from 1 species
CUCUUCGCUCCACCCCCUGUUCCACCCCCUGUUCUUGCCCCUGCAGGCAGUCCGGUGAGUGUAUAUAUGUUUGUCUAUUGCUUUGGCUUGUGCGGCCGUCCUGCAGAUACUAAUGAGUUCGCUUUUAUAUUAUGUAGCAUCAGUCAUGGGGUUCGAACCCGACCCCUUCUCCAGGCAGUGGGUGGCAGGUUACUACUUAUGGCCACCCAAGUACGCAGCACACGUGGCCUGGUGCCCAUCCGCAGCACGGCCACCCCGGGUUGUCCGGCAGCCCUCCUCCGCGCCCCGGGUACUCGUACCCGUACCCGUCGGUGCCAGGGCAGGCCAUGUGGGCGCCGUGGGCAGGUGCGAGCUCUCCACACCCUCGAGGGCACUCACCCUGGUCGGCUUGGCCAGAUGGGGGCUCGGGACACGACGGAGGCCACGACGACGACGGGUCAGAGUCACAGCACUAGGGGUGAGGCGCUAGCGACUUUGAGGAGUGAUAUUCAUGUGGACUUGUGGUUUAUGUUAUGAACUUGUGGUUUAUGUUAUGAACUUAUGGUUUAUGUUGGACGUAAUGUUAGAUUUGUCAUAUCUAUGUGGAUUUGUGAUAUCUGUGGACUUCGAUAUGUUUCAUGUGUGAUAUAUAUAUAUAUAUAUAUACAUAUGUGGCUGUGCAUGUAAAAAACAGAGAAAAAACAAAAAAACAAAACUAAAUUCCCAGCUUUGCCGAGAGCCUGGAUGGCUGGCACUCGGCAAAGAUAGAAAGCCGGGUUCAGAAGAACUACAGCUUUGCCG